rnacentral:rRNA from 1 species
UACGUAGGUCCCGAGCGUUGUCCGGAUUUAUUGGGCGUAAAGCGAGCGCAGGUGGUUUAUUAAGUCUGGUGUAAAAGGCAGUGGCUCAACCAUUGUAUGCAUUGGAAACUGGUAGACUUGAGUGCAGGAGAGGAAAGUGGAAUUCCAUGUGUAGCGGUGAAAUGCGUAGAUAUAUGGAGGAACACCGGUGGCGAAAGCGGCUCUCUGGCCUGUAACUGACACUGAGGCUCGAAAGCGUGGGGAGCAAACGGG